rnacentral:lncRNA from 1 species
AUCUCCUCAAGUACGACUCUACACUUGGUAUCUUCGAAGCUGAUGUUCAGCCUGCUGAGAAUGGCAUCUCUGUCGACGGCAAGGUCAUCAAGGUUGUCUCCGACCGCAACCCCGUCAACCUUCCUUGGAAGUAAGCUAUGAGAGUCUGUCUCGCGUCUCUUUCCUUUUCCUUUCUUAUUCUGCUUGGGAUUGCAUUUACUCUGAAUAUAUGAACUUAAUUAUUCGCGGUGGUAUUCAGGGACUUGGGAAUCGACCUGGUGAUUGAAGGCACCGGAGUUUUCGUGGAUAGAGACGGUGCUGGAAAACACAUUCAGGCAGGCGCCAAGAAGGUGCUCAUCACAGCCCCUGGCAAGGGCGAUAUCCCUACCUACGUCGUCGGAGUUAAUGCUGAUGCCUACAAUCCUGAUGAGCCUAUCAUCAGCAAUGCUUCUUGCACUACCAACUGUCUUGCUCCCUUUGUCAAGGUCCUCGACCAGAAGUUUGGUAAUCAAAUGUCUCUCUUCUUCUAUCCCUUUUCUUUAAGAAUGAGCCCCUGAGAAAAUAUGAAUGAACCAAUGAAAAUUGAAUGACAACUUGCGGGCUGGUUUCAGGCAUCAUCAAGGGAACCAUGACUACAACUCACUCAUACACCGGUGACCAGAGGCUACUGGACGCCAGCCACCGUGACCUCAGACGGGCACGAGCUGCAGCUCUAAACAUUGUUCCAACUUCAACUGGUGCAGCAAAGGCAGUUGCCCUUGUCCUUCCAACUCUGAAAGGCAAACUGAACGGCAUCGCUCUGCGUGUACCGACACCAAACGUCUCGGUUGUGGACCUGGUGGUGCAGGUAUCAAAAAAGACAUUUGCAGAAGAGGUAAACGCUGCAUUCAGAGAAAGUGCUGAGAAGGAGCUGAAGGGUAUCCUGUCAGUGUGUGACGAGCCUCUUGUUUCCGUCGACUUCAGGUGCUCAGACGUAUCAUCA